rnacentral:rRNA from 1 species
GACGAACGCUGGCGGCGUGCUUAACACAUGCAAGUCGAACGGAAAGGCCCUGCUUUUGUGGGGUGCUCGAGUGGCGAACGGGUGAGUAACACGUGAGUAACCUGCCCUUGACUUUGGGAUAACUUCAGGAAACUGGGGCUAAUACCGGAUAGGAGCUCCUGCUGCAUGGUGGGGGUUGGAAAGUUUCGGCGGUUGGGGAUGGACUCGCGGCUUAUCAGCUUGUUGGUGGGGUAGUGGCUUACCAAGGCUUUGACGGGUAGCCGGCCUGAGAGGGUGACCGGCCCGAUUGGGACUGAGAUACGGCCCAGACUCCUACGUGGGGCAGCAGUGGGGAAUAGUGAACGAUGGGCGGAAGCCUGAUGCAGCAACGCCGCGUGCGGGAUGACGGCCUUCGGGUUGUAAACCGCUUUCGCCUGUGACGAAGCGUGAGUGACGGUAAUGGGUAAAGAAGCACCGGCUAACUACGUG